ensembl:snoRNA SNORA70 Small nucleolar RNA SNORA70
CUGCAGACUCUAAGACCAUCAGGCUCCAUCUCCAUGGAAGCCUGGUGUGAGACAGUCAGACACUGCUUUGUUGGUAAAGUGUCCAGCCUGUUGCUUAUAUGGUCGUCCUUAAGUGAUCUUGGAGACAGCA